GAUGAACGCUGGCGGCGUGCCUAAUACAUGCCAGUCGAGCGAACAGACGAGGAGCUUGCUCCUCUGACGUUAGCGGCGGACGGGUGAGUAACACGUGGAUAACCUACCUAUAAAACUGGGAUAACUUCGGGAAACCGGAGCUAAUACCGGAUAAUAUAUUGAACCGCAUGGUUCAAUAGUGAAAGACGGUUUUGCUGUCACUUAUAGAUGGAUCCGCGCCGCAUUAGCUAGUUGGUAAGGUAACGGCUUACCAAGGCAACGAUGCGUAGCCGACCUGAGAGGGUGAUCGGCCACACUGGAACUGAGACACGGUCCCGACUCCUAAGGGAGGCAGCAGUAGGGCAUCUUCCGCAAUGGGCGAAAGCCUGACGGAGCAACGCCGCGUGAGUGAUGAAGGUCUUCGGAUCGUAAAACUCUGUUAUUAGGGAAGAACAAAUGUGUAAGUAACUAUGCACGUCUUGACGGUACCUAAUCAGAAAGCCACGGCUAACUACGUG
rnacentral:rRNA from 1 species